rnacentral:lncRNA from 1 species
UAGGUGGGGUACUGCCGUUUUAUUUAGCGGCGCGGGCGGGGGGGUGGGGGGGAUCAAAACUCCUCUGAUGAAACAAUAGAGGUUGGGGAAUCCAGCUUUUUGGCUUCUUAUCACCCCGGCAUCUAAGCAGUUAGUACUAUCACGGGGCUGGUGGAAAUGGGAGUGGUUGUGUGCCUUCUCCACACACACAAUACAACACUGAGCUGCAUUCUCUGCCCAGAAAGGGCCUAUUGUCCUGAACAGCCGGAGUCUCCUCUGCUGACGCCUCUCACUGACUGUGCCAGGCCAGGCCCAGAAACUGGACUGCAUCGAGUCUUGCAGCAGAUGAAAAGACAUGGAGGGACCCUAAGCUUAGAAAAAGAUAAGCCUCCAAACAACCUUGACAUUUUUAUCAG